GGUAACAUGGCCGAGUGGUCUAAAGUGCUGGAUUAAAGCUCCAGUCUUUUUGGAGGAGUGGGUUCAAAUCCCACUGCUGCCA